GACGUAGAGCGCGAGCGUUGUCCGGAUUUAUUGGGCGUAAAGAGCUCGUAGGCGGUUUGUCGCGUCGUCUGUGAAAACCCACGGCUCAACUGUGGGCUUGCAGUCGAUACGGGCAGGCUAGAGUUCGGUAGGGGAGACUGGAAUUCCUGGUGUAGCGGUGAAAUGCGCAGAUAUCAGGAGGAACACCGGUGGCGAAGGCAGGUUGUUGGGCCGAUACUGACGCUGAGAAGCGAAAGCAUGGGGAGCGAACAGG
rnacentral:rRNA from 1 species